AUGUGCCAGACGGGCGCCUGGGAACCGACCGUGGGCCAGAGCAAGGCGGCUCCCACUGUCCGUGCAAGCGAGGCACGACAGGGUUCUCUGGGGAAACAGAAACAGGAUGGGGUGGGGGGCAGAGAGAGAGGAGGGGCAGGCAGGGCACGGCCAAACCCCGGCAAGGACCCCAGGCUGCAGUCGCGGGGGGUGGGGAGGGGGGGGGGGUGCAGCUCACGUCCAGGGGCAGCCUCGCUUCGCAGGCCGAAUUUCUUCCUCCUCCGGGGCCCGCGGUCUGUGUGGUUGAGGGCUGGAGCGGCCCGAGGAAGCCCACCCGCUGUCGGGGAUCCCACCUGCUUUACUUCGGGGGCCACCCUCCAGAAACGCCGUCUCACCAAGAAGCAACAGCAGCAGAAAACCAAGACCAGAAACACCCUCACAAAGUCGUCCCGGGGAAGGAGUGAGCAGUCUGAGCUCCGGGGCCCAGUCACCGUGACACACGCAAGGAAGCACCAGGGAGCUGCUCAGACACACACGGGGAGAUGCACGGGGAGAGACCGAGCGCUGGAGGCCUGCAGAGGGGCAAGCCGCUGGGAUCGGGGUCUGGGAUGGGUCUGGGAUGGGGGUCCGGGGUGUCGGGAAGGCCCCGACAGACAGGGCGUGUGCGCACAGCGGGGGAAAGCCACCGGGGAGGAGCUGCUGGGUGGCUUUCGAGAAGGGGUCUCCAGGCAGGUCACCCCCAGGGGACCCUGGAAGGCCCUCAGGUCCUCGGCUAAGCUACGGAGACACAGAGAUCACCGUCCUGGGCCACGCGGGUCAGCAGUGUGGUGGCGGCGGGAGACCCGGGGACGCUGGAUGCCGCAGGGACGGAGGGAAUGGCCCAGCCAGGAGGGACCCCGGGCUCCUGUUCGGCCUGGAGACGGGAUUUCAACAAAUGGACCGUCUGGAGUCUUUCGUUAUCUACAGGAUUUGAUGCUUUCCGCAAAUCUGAGACUGCGCUUCCCUGUGACUCACCCACGGGAAUGUGGAGCGGGUGUUGAUUACACGGAGAACCUUCCAGCAAGUGCACGGUGGGGGUGCGGGGCAGGUGCGAUGGGAGCUCCCCGAGGGCGAGGCCACGUCCCCAGGGUCCGAAAGCGGGGGCAGGACAGCCCUCCCCAGGAAGACCCAUCGCCCUGGGCUGCAGCUCAGGAAGGAGUGGGGUGCACCCGGCCGUCUCCCGAGGGUGCGGACUUGCCCAGAGCAGCCACGACGCCCACGGGACUGCACUCUUCCACGAGGCAGCCCCCCGACUAG
rnacentral:lncRNA from 1 species